rnacentral:rRNA from 1 species
AUUGAACGCUGGCGGCAUGCCUUACACAUGCAAGUCGAACGGCAGCACGGGUGCUUGCACCUGGUGGCGAGUGGCGAACGGGUGAGUAAUACAUCGGAACGUACCUUAUCGUGGGGGAUAACGCAGCGAAAGCUGUGCUAAUACCGCAUACGCCCUGAGGGGGAAAGCGGGGGAUCGCAAGACCUCGCGCGAUUAGAGCGGCCGAUGCCUGAUUAGCUAGUUGGUGGGGGAAAAGCCCACCAAGGCGACGAUCAGUAGCUGGUCUGAGAGGACGAUCAGCCACACUGGGACUGAGACACGGCCCAGACUCCUACGGGAGGCAGCAGUGGGGAAUUUUGGACAAUGGGGGCAACCCUGAGCCAGCAAUGCCGCGUGAGUGAAGAAGGCCUUCGGGUUGUAAAGCUCUUUUGUCAGGGAAGAAACACCGGCCCUAACACAGUCCGGGAAUGACGGUACCUGAAGAAUAAGCACCGGCUAACUACGUGCCAGCCGCCGCUGUAU